rnacentral:rRNA from 1 species
GAGUCUAACAUGUGCGCGAGUCAUUGGGACACGCAAGCCUAAAGGCGAAAUGAAAGUAAAGGUCAGCCUUGCGCCGACCGAGGGAGGAUGGGCCGCGUCACGAUGCGGCCCCGCACUCCCGGGGCGUCUCGUUCUCAUUACGAGGAGAGGCGCACCCAGAGCGUACACGUUGGGACCCGAAAGAUGGUGAACUAUGCCUGGUCAGGACGAAGUCAGGGGAAACCCUGAUGGAGGUCCGUAGCGAUUCUGACGUGCAAAUCGAUCGUCGGAACUGGGUAUAGGGGCGAAAGACUAAUCGAACCAUCUAGUAGCUGGUUCCCUCCGAAGUUUCCCUCAGGAUAGCUGGCACUCGCGUACAAAAGUUACACGAGUCUCAUCCGGUAAAGCGAAUGAUUAGAGGCCUUGGGGCCGAAACGACCUCAACCUAUUCUCAAACUUUAAAUGGGUGAGAUCUCUGGCUUGCUUGAACUAUGAAGCCACGAGAUUUCGGAU